CAAUAGCGUAUACUAAAGUUGUUGCAGUUAAAAGCUCGUAGUUGGAUUUCUGUGCGCCGGUUGUUGGGCCUGCUCUAUGAGGAGGCUCCUUCACCGUCGUACAUCCUGUUGGCAGACCCGCGCAGGGCAUUUAGUUGUCGGCGUGGGGAGACCACUCGUUUACUUUGAGAAAAUUAAAGUGUUCAAAGCAGGCAAUCGCUUGAAUACAUUAGCAUGGAAUAAUGGAAUAGGACUUUGGUCUUAUUUUGUUGGUUUCUAAGGCCGAGGUAAUGAUUAAUAGGGAUAGUUGGGGGCGUUUAUAUUCCGUUGUCAGAGGUGAAAUUCUUGGAUUUACGGAAGAUAAACUACUGCGAAAGCAUUCGCCAAGGAUGUUUUCAUUAAUCAAGAACGAAAGUUAGGGGAUCGAAGACGAUCAGAUACCGU
rnacentral:rRNA from 1 species